UUUUCUUGUUAAAAUAUAUAGGGAUUGGCAACGAUUUACCAGGCAGAGUCUGACUUUUGCCUCGAUUGGCUUUACUGGUCAGCAGAGAGAUUUAAACAAAAUGCCCCCACAUACAGGUCCUUGCCAGGAGUUCGUGAUCCUUGUCAGUCGUUAUCAAUGCGCUGAACACUCCACCAAGGAACAGGAGACUUACGACGGCUCUCCAAUGCAUUUUGGAUUUGUUAGUCAAAGUAGAGAAUGUGUUUUCGACGGGAUUUUAAGUUGAACUAAAAUAAUUAUUCAACACUCAUUGAUUUUAUAAACUAUGUUAUAGCGGAACAUAAUGACUCUCAGCAUUAAAUAGACGUGAAAUUGUAUAUAACAAUAAGCUUAAAACAUUGUAUUCUUGUUAAAAUGUAUAGGGAAGAGAUAUGUUAACAAUUUACUUCGCUUUUCCUUCGGUCUGUCUCUCUUUAUUUGUGGCACAAUGUUAAUUAAAUUAUAAUGCGCGUGUUAAUUACUUAAUGAAGCGUAUUGUUGCAGUCAUUGUGCGAUGUGCAUUGUGCAUGUCACUGGCAGCUCCACUCGAUUGUGCGAUGUCCGCUGACACCCCACAAAGGACGUCUUCAUCAGCAACAUCAUUACUUAGUACACUUUCAGUGAACUUUGACCCCCGGACUGCAGCCCACUUUUUUCCGCCCCUUUCCGUGCCCAGUGUCCUUGCCAUCUGCUAUCCUAGCCCGCCUUUUGUCUGUCUGGGGGCCAUUAGAAGGGAUAGAUCCUGGCUGGCCGCUCAUUAAUGUCGAAAGGAUGACUGGGAUAAAGGUACAUUUUUUUGCUUACAACGAAUGGUAAAUGUUCUAUAUUGCAGGGAAUGUUAUAUUGAAUUUUGCUGUGCUAAAUUUAAAAAUGGAAAAGGAUAUAAA